AGAUGUGAUCGCUCAGCAAGAAGCAAAAAACUCAAGCACUAAGGAGUAUAUACAAUGGCUGGAGGAAAAAUUACUUGCUCUUGAGACCGGGAAAACACACCUUGAACAGGAGAAAAGUGACAUACAAGAGGAAUGCCAUCAGCUUCAAAGUCGGUUAGAAGAAGAAAGAAGAGAAAAAGACACACUGACUCAGGAACUAAACAGUCUGAGAAAAGGUUACAGAGAGAAUGAAG